rnacentral:rRNA from 1 species
UACGGGGGGGGCAAGCGUUGUUCGGAAUUACUGGGCGUAAAGGGUUCGUAGGUGGCCUGCUAAGUCAGACGUGAAAUCCCUCAGCUUAACUGGGGAACUGCGUCUGAGACUGGUGGCCAGUUCGAGUAGGCAUGGAGGAGGACGCGGAAUCCAGUGUAGCGGUGAAAUGCGUAGAUAUCUGGAGGAACACCGGUGGCGAAGGCGGCGAUUCCUGGGACCGUGUCACUGACA